UAGCAUGUUUUCAUUACUGUAAAGAAAAUGUCAGGCAAAAAUCAAUCAAAAAGCUAGUUGACAUGAUUCCAUCUGUGCUUUCAAAUAAAAUGAGAAUCAAAAGAAUGGACAAAAGGACAAACAAGGAACUCAAGGACCACGAGCAGGGGCAAAACAGAAACAGCCAGGUGCCUGGUCAUCAGGAAUCAUCCCUCCUCCCUUGCUUGUAUCGAUGGCUUCUAACAUACGCACCACCUCAGCCAUUUCAGGACGUUUUUCUGCAUUUGCAUCCCAGCAUUUUCGCAUGAUAGUUGCUAAAGAACUUGGACAGCAUCUUGGGAUCUCUGGUCGUAGAUUCUGUCGAACAACAGCAGAUGACACAUCAGCAAAGCUAAGAUUAGGGUAGGGCAUAUCACAGCAAUAAAUUUCCCACAAGCAUAUGCCAAAGCUGUAGACAUCACAGCUUCUAUUAUACGGCUUGCCAUCAAGAACCUCUGGGGCCAUGUAUCCAAGGGUACCAGUUUCACCAGUCAUGUCCCUUGGAUUCUGAGCUUCAACACGGGCAACACCAAAAUCAGCGAUUUUAAGAGUUCGAUGAGAAUCCAAUAACAUGUUUUCAGUUUUGACAUCACGAUGUACAAUUUUCUUUGAAUGUAGAUAGCUAAGUCCCCUAGAGAGAUCCAAAGCCAGUUGGACCACAAUCUUAAAAGCAAGUUUCUUCCGCCUAUUUCUUAUCAAGUAAUUUUUUAGAGUCCCACCAGGGAGAUACUCAACAACUACACAACAUGCCCUGGAAGGGAGAGAAGUUUGACCAUCAGACAUGUCUUUUGCAGGAAUUUUGAGAUUUGAUGUUCCCAUUGAUGCUCCAACAAAUUUUGUGACAUUAGGAUGGUCAAGCUUGUGCCAAACAGCAACCUCUUGCCGAAAUGAUGCCCGCAGAGCAGCGGUUUCAGCAGUUGUGGCAAUACCAUCCUCACCCCAGUCCAACAGCUUCACUGCAACAUCCUGGUUAUCGUAGAUACCACGAUACACAGUCCCAUAAGUUCCGUGGGCUAUGACAUGCUUUAUGUCCAAUUUAGACAAAUCGAUCUCCCACACUUCUGCAGGCCUUUGGUUCUCAACGUUCCUAGACCAAACCCUGCUCAAGUGCUUCUCCAGCUGUACAUCCAAGCUCUUAAGAUCGAUUUUAUCUGCUCGAAAAAUCAUAUCUUUGCUACUAACACUUCCUGUACCUUUCACCAUUGAUUGAUUAUCAGAUUUCCCCUCUGCCGUGAUACCCCCGGCAUCACCACUUGUUCUUGAAUCCAUUGUAAAGAACCAAAUACAAAUAUGAUUCCUUAAAUCUCAAAGAUAGCCUUAAAUCUCAGGCAGCAAUCAAAAAAUAACAAAAGCCAGAAACAAUACUAUUGCUUACUAUCCUAUAAAGAACUGAUCCAUAUAAAUUUCAAUUUUGCAUCAUUGUCUUCGAAUUCCAAUAAACAUUAAUGAUAAAAGAACAUGCAAUUUUCAAUCGGCAACGAAAAUUCAACAAGGCUUACCAAAGAUCAAAUUACCGAUCAAAUAUUGUAGUGAAAAUUUUGAUCAAACAGAAACCCAAUUCACCAACCCAAAAUCCUUCUAUCCAAUAUUGACCUUAUAACCAAAAUUUUAUAAUAGAUUCCUCAC
rnacentral:misc_RNA from 1 species